AAGAGAGUGGAAGUACCAAACCCCUGCCGUAUGUUUCCACUCAAGAGAUACAAGUUAUUGGGUAGCUUUCUCUUCCUCUUUGCCUGAAAUUCCUUUCCUUACAAGACCUUCUCUAUUGAAGGAUUCAAGAUGUGUUCACUCUGCAGAGCAGAGGUACCCUUUCUGUGAUGGACGUGCUAGCUAUUUCAGGUACAGCGUACAUGCUGCAGCAGUCUGUCUUUAUGGGAACCGCUCUGGCAGAGUGAAGAGAAGAUAGUUCCUUCUGCUUCCAAAGUAUUGCCCAUAUCAAUCACUUUCUUGAAGUAAUAAGGAUCAUUGCCCCUUGUCACUUGUUCUUGGUACUCCUUUAAAGGGCAGAGGUGUUAGUGUGGGCCCAGGGUAACAGAGCUUUUCCUCCAUUAUAAGAUUCACCAUAGACAGCAACCUUCCCCUUAUGAACAAAACAGAAGUUAAGUAAUGUAUCCAACCGUACUGAUCCAAACCACUACAUUUUACACUAGUGAUACUGCCAUGUUUGGGCAAAUUACGACACAAUAGUAGACUUACAGUAAUAUAUAAUGAAAAGGCCGUUCUAUUUGGCAUCAUGAUAUUUUGCAUGUAUGGAGUGUUGAGAUUUGGUUACUAAAAUGAAUUAAAAUGAUGAUAAGAAUGCAAAUACCAUGCAAGAUAAAUUAUAAAAGAGGAAUAGUCUCUCCUUGAAUGGAGUACAGAACAACAGGUUAGUCAUUCCACACUCACACACACACUCUCUCUCUCUCUCUCUCUCACUCUCUCUCUCCUGCAGUUACUUUGUCCCUUAAGUCAGUUGAUUAUUGACAGGCUAUUGGGUGCUACAACUUACUAAGAAUGCUCUAAAGGUUGUCAGGCCUUAGACUUUAGUAAGCAUAAUUACCUUUUCAUAUGUCUUUCCCAGUCUCUUAAAAUCUGGCAAUCCUAAAAACAGGGCUACAGAGUACAGGAGUUGAAGUCCAAAUUAUUCUAAGUGAUCACAUGACAUAAUACAUAGAACUUGCAUACUCUGUCUCCAUGAGAACACAAGGUUCUUGUUGAUUUCUGUAUCCUUGCUUGGAAGAAAACAGAUAAAUAGUGCUAGGGGAGGGAGGACACAGCACAUACUGCAUGUGCACACUCCCUCAGAAUAAAACAAUUUUACGUCUAACAUCCUUGGCAGUGUCCUUUUUUACUAUUAGAAGAUCAAGUUUUAAAUAGGCAGAACAGUAAUAGAACAGAAGCAGAGUCAGUGUUUCUGCAGGGUUGUCUGCAGUGAUGAUCUGACAAUGAUUAUAGAAAUGGCAAAAGCCUGCAACAUUACUCAUAUAUGUCAUUUGUAACAUAACCACAGUAAGCCCCACCCACAACUGAUGGAGCCUCUUGGUCUUCUCUGAGUGAGAACCAUAAGAUACCUUUCCAGCUUCAUGGUAGUUAAGGUUCUGCAAACAGAAUACCUAGUCCAUCUUGCUCAGGUUUCCAACAACUGAAAACAUCUUGUUAUUGAAUUACAAUUAGGCCAGAAUUUUUACUAGCACAAAAUCAGUUGGAUAAGCUCCACUGACGUAUGUAAAACAAGACAAAACAGGAAUUAGUAGCCUUUCUUAAAUACUCGGCAGAGUCUCAACAUGAUAUGAAAUUGGUUAGGUGUUCUGAAUGGGGUUAGUUCCAUAGUCUUGCUUCAGUUUUUAGUUUAAAUAGCAGCUCAUGGUUGGUGGUGAAAUAUUUUUCUUUUCAUUGUAAUACUUCCUCCUAACUUUGGAGACACCCCAAAUGCCUUCCCCUUUUUCCGUUUAGCAAAAAAGAAUGUUUGCCUGCCUUUCUAAUGAAGGUCAUAAAUCUGGUUUGGGUGUGGGAGGAUAUUUCAUUUAUUUCCCUUUUUCUGCACAAGCAUCAAUAAUGUCAGCACAGGUCUGAAAAUGAGAUUCAAUUUGUGCACUGUUUGCUUUCAUGUCUUGCUGUUUAGCAACAGUACAGAGCACUGCACUCUAAUAAGGCUCACCCAAUGCUUUAGGGCCAGGACUGGCCUGAGAGUAAAGGAUAAAACUUAGGAUUCAAAAUCUGACUGCCUUAUAGUCAUUUAAAUAUAACAAGGUACUGGACAAAUACAUGCUUUAUCUUGAUGAGGGUUUUCUCAUAUAUGGUAAAAAGCUAGUCUCUCACUUCCAGUUUUCAAGACUGAUUUUUGACACCCUCAAGUAAUUUCAGUCCAAGCAUUUGGCUUCUCUUAUUUGCAACCAAGAAAACUAAUACGAAAGAAGAUAAGACAAUAUCCACCCAUUGUCUAUCGAUCAUGUUGGCUAUUAUCUGAAAACAAGCAAGCAGACUGUACAUACAAUAAAAAAGUUGUAUUAAUUUUUUAUUGAAGGUGUGGACCUUGCAAGCUGUUGAAAAUGAGCUUUGAAAACUGGAUAAUGAGCUUUCAUAUAUGUACAGAUAUUAAAAUUAAAUUUGUCACAUAAGCAAUGCUUCUAUAGACUCCUGCUGACCUAUAAAAAGUAGUCAUAAAAUAAUAUUUUAAAAUAAAUUCUUUAUCAAAGUUUUGCUCAUAUAUCAAUGCUAUUCAAAUAACUGAUUUCAGACACAAGCAAUAGAAAUGUUUUAAUUAUUUAAAAAAAAUUCCUAUGGAAACUGUUUUUAAAAAGCAGACAUUCUCUUGCAAAAUGUGGAAUUCAAACACUGCAGCUCAUCUUAGCUAAUGUAUGAGAACCUGAAAAUGAAAUUUACUAGAAACAAACUGGAGAGAUGAAACUGGAAAGUUUUUUCAUUGCCCUAGCAGAGAGAAAUAGGAUGAGGAGACAACAUGAAUAGCAAUAAGAAAAUCAGCUGCAGUGUAUGUAUUAAUUUGUAACAAUUUAAAAUGGUAUUUUAAAAAUUGUAACCUAAUAUCCCUAGUCUACGUUAUCUAACAUAUCUAAGUACUUAUAUUCCCCAGUCACUGAAGUAUGUGAACAACAUCCAAAUAAUUAAAAUUGGAAAUAACAAUGUUUAUACAUAACUCAGCUGUCAGACAUCUUUAGUAAAGUGAAAAAUACAAGCUGCCUUCUCUGGAACUGUAGACUAUGGCUCAGAUUUUUCAAACAGAUGUGCGCAAAGCCAUGUUUGCACUUUUGUGUAGAUGCAGCUUCAAUGUGGAAAUCCUCUGAACUGUAGUUGCAAAUCAGGGUUGUGGAGGCAUGCAUGCACCUACAUGCGUAACCCCAGUGUGCGUGUGUGCUUGCAAGUUUUGCAUAUCUAAGUUAAAGCAAAAGUGUCCGUAAACUUUUGUGCAUGCCUUUUGAAAAUGUCAGUCCAUGCUGAAAAUCAAAAGGUGCCCUUUACCAGUGUUGACCUUUGGACAUUGACCUGAUCUUGGGAGAUACAUACCUGAGAAUAAAUGGUAAUCUAUAUGUUAGACUAAAUUAAGCUGCUUAAGAAACGCUAUAAUGAAAGAAGGGGAACACAAUAAAACAAAAUAGGCUUUACAAUAAGCUUAUUUAAGGCCCAGUAGUGUUAUAAUGGUUAUCAUGAUGUUUAGGAAGGACUGGCAGUUAACAUAAAUUAGCUUAAGUAUUUGACCUAAUGUCAUAAGGUUUGUAGGAACUUUUGCAAUAUGUAGCUUUUGAUAAAUGAGAACAGCUCAGAAAGACAAAACAACAGAUUUUGGUGUAUUUUAGUAUGUGUAAUUGUGAAUUUAACCACACUGAUACACUAGAAAUAUUGGGAAACGUAUUUAUGCACAUGUUUGGUGUCAACAAUUGGAACCCCAGUUACGGUUUCCCAGACAGCCGUACAUGGACUAAAGGCCAGAAAACAAUCUAAAUAUGAUCCCCAGACAUGCGUGGUCAGGAAAAGAGGAUAUAAAAUAUGGUGUUUGAUUAACCUUUAGUUGGGACAUUAGGGAUGACAGAAUGGCUAAAGUCUUUGUACUGUCAAGCCCACUCAUACUGCUCUCCACGUACUUCCCCUAUUCACUUCCAAGAGUCUCCAUAAGGCUGUGAGUAUGCACAGUGUAGGGGGUUCUUUGUUUAUAUUUAUCUUGCUUUAUUAUAUUUUUCUCUGAGUUCUAUUUUACUUGUAUAUUCUAAGUACUAAAUAAAGUCCUCAUGUUUCUAUGCAAUUCA